AGUGGCGGACGGGUGAGUAACGCGUGAGAAUCUGCCUUGGGGUCGGGGACAACCACUGGAAACGGUGGCUAAUACCGGAUAAGCCGAUUGGUGAAAGAUUUAUUGCCCGAAGAGGAGCUCGCGUCUGAUUAGCUAGUUGGUGAGGUAAGAGCUCACCAAGGCAGCGAUCAGUAGCUGGUCUGAGAGGACGAUCAGCCACACUGGGACUGAGACACGGCCCAGACUCCUACGGGAGGCAGCAGUGGGGAAUUUUCCGCAAUGGGCGAAAGCCUGACGGAGCAAGACCGCGUGAGGGAGGAAGGCUCUUGGGUUGUAAACCUCUUUUCUCAGGGAAGAAGCUCUGACGGUACCUGAGGAAUCAGCCUCGGCUAACUCCGUGCCAGCAGCCGCGGUAAUACGGAGGAGGCAAGCGUUAUCCGGAAUUAUUGGGCGUAAAGCGUCCGCAGGUGGCGAUUCAAGUCUGCUGUCAAAGCACGGGGCUUAACUCCGUAAAGGCAGUGGAAACUGAAUAGCUAGAGUGCCGUAGGGGUAGAGGGAAUUCCCGGUGUAGCGGUGAAAUGCGUAGAGAUCGGGAAGAACAUUGGUGGCGAAAGCGCUCUACUGGACGGCAACUGACACUCAGGGACGAAAGCUAGGGGAGCGAAUGGGAUUAGAUACCCC
rnacentral:rRNA from 1 species